rnacentral:rRNA from 1 species
GUGGGGAAUUUUGGACAAUGGGCGCAAGCCUGAUCCAGCAAUGCCGCGUGCAGGAAGAAGGCCUUCGGGUUGUAAACUGCUUUUGUACGGAACGAAACGGUCCUGGCUAAUAUCCGGGGCUAAUGACGGUACCGUAAGAAUAAGCACCGGCUAACUACGUGCCAGCAGCCGCGGUAAUACGUAGGGUGCGAGCGUUAAUCGGAAUUACUGGGCGUAACGCGUGCGCAGGCGGUGCUGUAAGACAGGCGUGAAAUCCCCGGGCUCAACCUGGGAAUUGCGCUUGUGACUGCAGUGCUGGAGGGCGGCAGAGGGGGAUGGAAUUCCGCGUGUAGCAGUGAAAUGCGUAGAUAUGCGGAGGAACACCGAUGGCGAAGGCAAUCCCCUGGGCCUGCACUGACGCUCAUGCACGAAAGCGUGGGGAGCAAACAGGAUUAGAAACCCCGGUAGUCC